UUAACUUAAUUACCAAUGUUAACAGUGUGAUUUCAGGUGGGAGCAAAUUAAUCAUUUUUUAAAUUAAUUAAUUUCAAGUAAUGGGCAUAAAAGGAAUAUGGUAAAAUUGUACGUGUUGAAUGUCUGUGUGUAUGUCUGUCUGCAAAUGUGAUAUUGUGCCAUUUAUUGUAUUGAUUUUUUUUAGGUUCAUGGUGAUUGGUACAGGAAAAACAUGAGGUCCAUGCAGAUGGUGUUUAAAACUAUUGGCCAGCAAAUGCACACCCAUUUGAAUACAUCUUGAAACAGCACCAGCAAAAUGUGACAGUCGGCAAAAUGUUAUGAAUAAAAAGGACAGAGGCAGAUUUGAAGGAGAUGCAUGAAAUGAGGAAUAUUUCAAAGAAUUGCCUGAGCAUAACCACUGCUACUGGAUAAACAUAUGGCAAUAUAAAAGAGCAGGGUCAAUGGAGGUAUCAUACAGUAUAGGCCAUGAGAGACCCAGAAGAAGAAAGUAUGGAAGAGAAACAAAAAUAAAACCAUUUUGACAUUUAUUGAAAUAUAGGAUCAAAGCCUUACAUGUAAAAUUUGGGCAUGUAAUGACUUUUCUCUUGCUCUAAGACUUAUAACAGUGAUGAUUUGAUUUAAUAUCUUUAUCCCGAUUUGUCGAAAAGAUUUGGACAUAGUGCAUCAAUUAUUUUAAAGUUUUGAUACAACGAAUUCAUUCAUUGUACUUGUAACUGAGUUUUCUGGUGUGACACUGUUUUAUCGGCUUCAAAACUAAGUUUGUGAUUUCCAAACCAGGUUAAUGAGAUACGUGUAAUAUCUUUUAACAUCGGUGACUAUUUAAUCCAUUCUUUUACAUCUCAGAAGUAUUUUUAUUAUUACAGGGAAAAUAUGCAUUGUACAUGUGUCUGUAAUAAACAGGAUUAUAGAAAUUUUCCAUAUAAUACAACACAAUCUUAGCAACUGAAGGCAAAUAUUUUAUCAAGGGUGUGAUCUAUUUAUCAAUAUGGUUUUCAGCAUCUUGCUCUACCUGUAAUGACUUGCUCUAAGUUCCAAUAUUUAAAUUUAAAAAUUUUGCAAACAUGGUUAUAAAAUUCUUUAAAAGCCAAAUAGUUUAGGCACAAAAUGCUUAUAUAUUUCCUAUCAUUUGUAAAGUGUACACUGAAUGAGAUGUGGAAUGUUAGAAUUAAAGUAUUAAAUAUG